AUAAAACGAAGGAUUAGUAAUUAAAUUUAUACGAUGCAGAGAGUGUACGGUUGCUGUGAGUACAACGUAGAAAUUAAUGAAUGCACCUUCGUAAAAUGAAUUAAAUAUAUAAUGAGAGUGAUGAGCAUUAAGUUGACUUAGU
rnacentral:misc_RNA from 1 species